GAAAUUUAUAACUCCAUGCAUUAGGCAGAUAAAAUUUUUACCUGAUGAAGAAGUUGAGACAGACCCUGCUCUUGUCUCUCUGGCCAUUACCACUUCAACAUUGAUUUCUUGACCUGAGGGCUUUCUCCAAAGCUGUGGAAGGCAGCUCUGUCCCUAUGUGAUCAGGGCAAUUUGGAAAUGCCUGGGAAUUAACAAACUCCCACUCUAGCAGCCUUCACCAAGUGACUGGAAAGAUUUGUUAUAUAGAUACCCCAGCUCACUUGGCCUUCAGAUGGGAUAACUUUG
rnacentral:lncRNA from 1 species